CGGAAAUACUUCACUCCAAGCUGGCAAGAAAUAGGGAUCUAUGUUGCCCAGGCUCAAACUCACGUGCUCAGGUGAGCCUCCUACCUUAGCCUCUCAAGUAGCUGAGACUACAAGCACAUGCCACUGUGUCGAGCUGAGAUACUGGACGUUCUACUGAACUUUCUGAAGAGAACUUCAGUACUGCUCCGGGUUAACUUUUUCAGCAAAAGUGUACGCAUUCUUCCUUUCUGGUUUAUUUGUUCACAAUCCACUAGAAUACUCCUGAUGUGAAGUUGAAAGAGGAGUUAGAACUUCAGAUGCUACUGACCUCAUGUUUCUAUGGACCUAAGGAAAUAACUGAAAGAUCAAAGCAUGUCACACUUGCUUUUAGUAUCUCUGAGCAUGUGCUGAACACAGAACCGAACCCCUGGGUCUCACUAUGUAGCUCAGGCUAGACUCG